rnacentral:rRNA from 1 species
UCCUACGGGAGGCAGCAGUGAGGAAUAUUGGUCAAUGGGCGGAAGCCUGAACCAGCCAUGCCGCGUGCAGGAAUAAGGCCCUAUGAGUCGUAAGCUGCUUUUGUGCGGGAGCAAUAAGGGCUACGUGUAGCCUGAUGAGAGUACCGUACGAAUAAGCAUCGGCUAACUCCGUGCCAGCAGCCGCGGUAAUACGGAGGAUGCGAGCGUUAUCCGGAUUUAUUGGGUUUAAAGGGUGCGUAGGCUGUGCGUCAAGUCAGAGGUGAAAUGCCCGGGCUCAACCUGGGGACUGCCUUUGAUACUGUCGCGCUGGAAUACGGAUGCCGUGGGAGGAAUGAGUAGUGUAGCGGUGAAAUGCAUAGAUAUUACUCAGAACACCGAUUGCGAAGGCAUCUCACGAAUCCGUCAUUGACGCUGAGGCACGAAGGCGUGGGGAUCAAACAGGAUUAGAUACCCUGGUAGUCC